rnacentral:tRNA from 1 species
GAGAAAGACUUGCCAGUAAUGAAAACUGCUAAUUUUUAUCCCCUUGGUUGAAUUCCAAGGCUUUCUCG